rnacentral:rRNA from 1 species
UACGUAGGGGGCAAGCGUUGUCCGGAAUCAUUGGGCGUAAAGCGCGUGUAGGCGGCCUUGUAAGUCCGUUCUGAAAGCCCGGGGCUCAACCCCGGGAGGCGGAUGGAUACUGCAAGGCUCGAGUACGGAAGAGGCGAGUGGAAUUCCCGGUGUAGCGGUGAAAUGCGCAGAUAUCGGGAGGAACACCCGUGGCGAAAGCGGCUCUCUGGAACGGUACUGACGCUGAGACGCGAAAGCGUGGGGAGCGAACAGG